rnacentral:rRNA from 1 species
CGGUGUUCAACUGGCGUGCCCGCGGGACGUCCUGCCGGUGAGCUCAGCCCGCGAGGGCGGCUCAACUUGAAAUCCCAUCGCGGUGCUCUUCAUUGAGUGUCGAGGUGGGCCGGCACGAUUACUUUUGAACAAAUUAGAGUGCUUAAAGCAGGCUAAAAUUUUGCCUGAAUACUGUGUAUAUGGAAUAAUGGAAUAGGACCUCGGUUCUAUUUUGUUGGUUUUCGGAACCCCGAGGUAAUGAUUAAUAGGAACGGAUGGGGGCAUUCGUAUUGCGACGUUAGAGGUGAAAUUCUUGGAUCGUCGCAAGACGGACUAAAAGCGAAAGCAUUUGCCAAAAACGCUUUCAUUGAUCAAGAACGAAAGUUAGAGGUUCGAAGGCGAUCAGAUACCGCCCUAGUUCUAACCAUAAACUAUGCCAGCUAGCGAUCCGCCGACGUCCCUCUGAUGACUCGGCGGGCAGCUUCCGGGAAACCAAAGCUUUUGGGUUCCGGGGGAAGUAUGGUUGCAAAGCUGAAACUUAAAGGAAUUGACGGAAGGGCACCACCAGGAGUGGAGCCUGCGGCUUAAUUUGACUCAACACGGGAAACCUCACCAGGCCCAGACACUGGAAGGAUUGACAGAUUGAGAGCUCUUUCUUGAUUCAGUGGGUGGUGGUGCAUGGCCGUUUUUAGUCGGUGGAGCGAUUUGUCAGGUUAAUUCCGAUAACGGACGAGACUCUGACCUGAUAACUAGACGCACUUGCGGCAUCUCAAAGGUCCGCCGGCGGCUGGCUUUGCGCCCGUCGUCGCGCGCGAUUUUUACUGCCGGCGUACAAUAAAUUCUUCUUAGAGGGACAAGUGG